rnacentral:rRNA from 1 species
UACGUAGGGGGCUAGCGUUGUCCGGAAUCCUUGGGCGUAAAGCGCGUGUAGGCGGUCCGGUAAGUCCGCUGUGAAAGUCGGGGGCUCAACCCUCGGAUGCCGGUGGAUACUGUCGGGCUUGAGUACGGAAGAGGCGAGUGGAAUUCCUGGUGUAGCGGUGAAAUGCGCAGAUAUCAGGAGGAACACCAAUUGCGAAGGCAGCUCGCUGGGACGUUACUGACGCUGAGACGCGAAAGCGUGGGGAGCAAACAGG